GUAGGUGGCGAGCGUUGUCCGGAAUUACUGGGUGUAAAGGGUGCGUAGGCGGGACGGUAAGUCAGCUGUGAAAGGUACAGGCUCAACCUGUGCACUGCAGUUGAAACUGCUGUUCUUGAGUAGAGGAGAGGUAAACGGAAUUCCCAGUGUAGCGGUGGAAUGCGUAGAUAUUGGGAGGAACACCAGUGGCGAAGGCGGUUUACUGGACUCUAACUGACGCUGAAGCACGAAAGCGUGGGGAGCAAACAGGAUUAGAUACCCUGGUAGUCCACGCCGUAAACGAUGGAUACUAGGUGUGGGGGGACUGACCCCUUCCGUGCCGGAGUUAACGCAAUAAGUAUCCCACCUGGGGAGUACGACCGCAAGGUG
rnacentral:rRNA from 1 species